AUACGGAGGAUGCAAGCGUUAUCCGGAUUUAUUGGGUUUAAAGGGUGCGUAGGCGGAUGAUUAAGCGUGAGGUGAAAUGCCACUGCUCAACAGUGGAACUGCCUCGCGAACUGGUUGUCUUGAAUGCUCCUGCCGUGGGAGGAAUGUGUGGUGUAGCGGUGAAAUGCAUAGAGAUCACACAGAACACCGAUUGCGAAGGCAUCUCACGAAGGGGUGAUUGACGCUGAGGCACGAAAGCGUGGGGAUCAAACAGGAUUAGAUACCCUGGUAGUCCACGCAGUAAACGCUGAUAACUAACCGCUGGGUCGUAGUGAUUCAGUGGCCAAGCGAAAGCGAUAAGUUAUCCACCUGGGGAGUACGACCGCAAGGUUGAAACUCAAAUGAAUUGGCGGGG
rnacentral:rRNA from 1 species